UUUUGGUUUGGUUUGGGUGAUGCAGUGGUGGCAGUCGAAGUCGCAUGCCAAUCCGCAUCCAUAGAAUCCACGGCCAUAGCCACAGCUGUCAUCUAAGCGAGAACGACUGCGUUGCACUGUGUUAAGCUCGAGAUGCUUGUAUUCGUUGAAUAUGAAGUGGACAUGACCACUGCGGUUGUCAGGCACACCGCAGUGCAAAACUUUAACCCAGAGAAUGUCGUGGAUUUCGAUCCAAUUGUCCUCUACGACGUGUGGUGGAACGGCGAUGCGACAGAGUGCUGCACAUGGCUGAAACUGAAGAAAUGGUGCUGCACACGUCGAAAAGGCUCAGAAAUCUGUCCUUAGAAAAGGGCAAGAGCACCAAAGGAAUUAUAACUGCCAUGGCCUCUAUGGCACCUUUGUCACAGGAGCAUG